CUCACAACUAGCUAGCGCGGACGCUCGACUGCGCGUUCGGGUCCGCUCUGCUUGAGUAGUACCGGCCAGUUGAUUGCAUCGACCCCAGUGUUUCACUGGUACUUAAUUUAUCGACGCCGAAAGGAUGAAAGGCAAAGUCGACCUCGGCGGAAUUUGAACCCAGAACAUAAAGACAGACGAAAUACCGAGAGAAAGCGAGAAGCAAGACCAACAACAGCGCCGGCCUCCAACAAGGAUCGAUAAGACCAUCUGUGGCAGAGCAUAAACAAAACAACAACUAUUAGAGAAUAAUUGUUCAGCCUUCCCCUUCUCCCUCCAUGUUUAGAUACAUCGAAUGUAUUGUUAUUUGUAACAGUCACCAGGUGUUACCCACAUUUUGUAAGUUCGAUUCCAUAUAGUGUCCAUAGUCUUUUCUUCCCUUCCUCAAACAGUUGCUUUCUCAGAGUAAAAAUAAAGAAACUCAAAACUGAAUAAAAGUACAUCGAUGUA